rnacentral:lncRNA from 1 species
AGGUUUAUUUGAAAAGAAUUGAUUUUGAUCAUUGACAUACUUGUUCUUAAUAUUUUAAUGCAUGACUUAACACAUAAUAUAUUUUGCAUGUGGCAUGAUGUUUUGAAUUAUGGGUUCUCAAUAUUUUGUAAUGCUCCAUGCUUGGAUAAUUUGAUUGAAUGUUUGAAAUACUACAUAGAAUUUUUUUUGGUAUUAUUGAAAAGAAAUUUCAGAUUUGUCGUUCACAAUCAUCUUUGAAAUAUGAAAGUUGAAUAAAUUUGUAAAAAGAAGAAGAGAAUAAUAUCUCUAUUUAGGCAAAAUGAAUUGAUUUUGUUUUAUCUUUCAACUUGCCUAACUUUGGUACAUAAUAUUCUAAUCCGUACCAAAACUCAACAUUAAAUACAAAUAUUUUGAAUAUGCUCUAAUAUGUUUGAAAUAUAUAUUUUCAAUCGUAAUGAUUUAAGAUGAGCUACAAUGUGGAAGAUACAUAUCUCAAAUUAUAACUUUGAAAGUCUCCUUGAAAAUCUUUAUGAAGUUCAAAAUCCGAUUUUGUAUAAAAGCUUAAACUUAAUUUAAAAAAUGCUUAUAUCGUUACAUCUUUGUAACCUUAGUUAUAUGCUUCAAUGAUCGCAUCAUUUAGGAGAAUAACUCAAUAUGAUUCCUAAAUAAAAAUUUUAACUUAAGAAAAACAGAAUUAAUUUUGAUGCCUUGGUUGAUUGCUCCGAUACGCAUCUGAAACAUAUUAUUUCUUAUCUUUAAAGUGCACUAAAAUUGGUUUAAAUGAUGUAUUUUUCAAUGAUCUUGAUUGCAAACAAAUAUUUCUAAAUAUAUGACUUUAUUUUGAUAUUAAAAAGAUUCAUUGUAUUUCAUGUAUACAUUGCUAUGAAUCUAUGAGUAAGAAAUUAAAUUCUAUAAACAUUCACUUGAAUGAUCUUCUAUAUCCCUCUCUGCAUGAUUGUUGUUUCCAUCACUAAAAGAAAAAGCUAUUUUUAAAAGAGUGAAUGAUCUUAAAGCUAGAAACAUUUCAGCUCACUCAAAUGACUCUUAAAAGAAAGAAAAUGUAAU